AUCACAGCUUAAAGCGAAGAUUUAAU
rnacentral:sRNA from 1 species